rnacentral:rRNA from 1 species
UACGAAGGGGGCUAGCGUUGUUCGGAAUUACUGAGCGUAAAGCGCGCGCAGGCGGCUAUCCAAGUCAGUGGUGAAAGCCCGGAGCUCAACUCCGGAACUGCCAUUGAAACUGUUUAGCUUGAGGACGAGAGAGGUGAGUGGAAUUCCCAGUGUAGAGGUGAAAUUCGUAGAUAUUGGGAAGAACACCGGUGGCGAAGGCGGGUCUCUGGGCAGUAACUGACGCUGAGGAGCGAAAGCGUGGGGAGCGAACAGG